rnacentral:rRNA from 1 species
GAUGAAUGCUGGCGGCGUGCCUAAUACAUGCAAGUCGAGCGGUAACACUUCGGGUGACGAGCGGCGGACGGCAGAGUAACGCGUAGGAACGUACCCCAAACUGAGGGAUAACGCACCGAAAGGUGUGCUAAUACCGCAUGUGAUCUUCGGAUUAAAGCUUCGGCGGUUUGGGAACGGCCUGCGUAUGAUUAGCUUGUUGGUGAGGUAAUGGCUCACCAAGGCGACGAUCAUUAGCUGGUCUGAGAGGAUGAUCAGCCUGACUGGAACUGAGACACGGUCCAGACUCCUACGGGAGGCAGCAGUAGGGAAUUUUCCACAAUGGGCGAAAGCCUGAUGGAGCAACGCCGCGUGCAGGAUGAAGGCCUUCGGGUUGUAAUCUGCUUUUGUCUGUGUAGAUUAUGACGGUAGCAGACGAAUAAGGACCGGCUAACUACGUGCCAGCCGCCGCAGUAA